rnacentral:pre_miRNA from 1 species
AAAAAAGCAAACCGUGGGUUCCCGUGCCAACGUUUGACUGUCCGUUUUAUAUGAAAUUUUUUCAUAAUUACUAUUUUCAUUGUUGUUAGAUGAUAAAACAUGAUUAAUAUUUUAUACGUGACUUAUCUUUUUAAUUUUUUUAUAAAAUUUUCAAAUAAGACGGACAGUCAAAUGUUGGACACGGAAAAC